GACGAACGCUGGCGGCGUGCUUAACACAUGCAAGUCGAACGGAAAGGCCCUGCUUUUGUGGGGUGCUCGAGUGGCGAACGGGUGAGUAACACGAGAGUAACCUGCCCUUGACUUUGGUUUAACUUCACGAAACUGGGGCUAAUCCCGUAUAGGAGCUCCUGCUGCAUGGUGGGGGUUGGAAAGUUUCGGCGGUUGGGGAUGGACUCGCGGCUUAUCAGCUUGUUGGUGGGGUAGUGGCUUACCAAGGCUUUGAAGGGUAGCCGGCCUGAGAGGGUGACCGGCGACAUUGGGACUGAGAUACGGCCCAGACGCCUACGGGAGGCAGCAGUGGGGAAUAUUGCAAAGUGGGCGGGAGCCUGAUGCAGCAACGCCGCGUGCGGGAUGACGGCCUUCGGGUUGUGAACCGCUUUCGCCUGUGACGAAGCGGGAGUGACGGUAAUGGGUAAAGAAGCACCGGCUAACUACGUG
rnacentral:rRNA from 1 species